rnacentral:rRNA from 1 species
GAUGAACGCUGGCGGCGUGCCUAACACAUGCAAGUCGAACGGGAUGCGUAUCGGAAAGCUUCGGCCGGAAGAUACGUUAUCUAGUGGCGGACGGGUGAGUAACACGUGGGUAACCUGCCUUAUGGAGGGGGAUAACAGAGAGAAAUCACUGCUAAUACCGCAUAAGCACACAGUACCGCAUGGUACAGGGUGAAAAGAUUUAUCACCAUAAGAUGGACCCGCGUCUGAUUAGCCAGUUGGCAGGGUAAAAGCCUACCAAAGCAACGAUCAGUAGCCGAUCUGAGAGGAUGACCGGCCACAUUGGGACUGAGACACGGCCCAAACUCCUACGGGAGGCAGCAGUGGGGAAUAUUGCACAAUGGGGGAAACCCUGAUGCAGCGACGCCGCGUGAGUGAAGAAGUAUUUCGGUAUGUAAAGCUCUAUCAGCAGGGAAGAUAAUGACAGUACCUGACUAAGAAGCCCCGGCUAACUACGUGCCAGCAGCCGCGGUAAUACGUAGGGGGCAAGCGUUAUCCGGAUUUACUGGGCGUAAAGGGAGCGUAGACGGAGUGGCAAGUCUGAAGUGAAAACCCUGGGCUUAACCUAGGGACUGCUUUGGAAACUGUUAAUCUAGAGUGUUGGAGAGGUAAGUGGAAUUCCUGGUGUAGCGGUGAAAUGCGUAGAUAUCAGGAAGAACACCGGAGGCGAAGGCGGCUUACUGGACAAUAACUGACGUUGAGGCUCGAAAGCGUGGGGAUCAAACAGG